rnacentral:rRNA from 1 species
AUUGAACGCUGGCGGCAGGCUUAACACAUGCAAGUCGAGCGGGGAAAGGUAGCUUGCUACCUGACCUAGCGGCGGACCGGUGAGUAAUGCUUAGGAAUCUGCCUAUUAGUGGGGGACAACAUUCCGAAAGGAAUGCUAAUACCGCAUACGCCCUACGGGGGAAAGCAGGGGAUCUUCGGACCUUGCGCUAAUAGAUGAGCCUAAGUCAGAUUAGCUAGUUGGUGGGGUAAAGGCCUACCAAGGCGACGAUCUGUAGCGGGUCUGAGAGGAUGAUCCGCCACACUGGGACGGAGACACGGCCCAGACUCCUACGGGAGGCAGCAGUGGGGAAUAUUGGACAAUGGGCGAAAGCCUGAUCCAGCCAUGCCGCGUGUGUGAAGAAGGCCUUUUGGUUGUAAAGCACUUUAAGCGAGGAGGAGGCUACUUGGAUUAAUACCUAGGAUAAGUGGACGUUACUCGCAGAAUAAGCACCGGCUAACUCUGUGCCAGCCGCCGCAGUAACAC